UUAAGCAAUGCGACUUUGCUGUAAAUAUGGACAAAUAAUGAUUACUUUGUAGGCUUUAUUUAGGUGGGCAGUCUUUUAGUCUUUUGAUGCUCAUAAAGGACCCUACGUACAUGU